rnacentral:rRNA from 1 species
AGGAAUAUUGGUCAAUGGGCGCAAGCCUGAACCAGCCAUGCCGCGUGCAGGAUGACGGUCCUAUGGAUUGUAAACCGCUUUUGUACGGGAAGAAACACUCCUUCGUGAAGGAGCUUGACGGUACCGUAAGAAUAAGGAUCGGCUAACUCCGUGCCAGCAGCCGCGGUAAUACGGAGGAUCCAAGCGUUAUCCGGAAUCAUUGGGUUUAAAGGGUCCGUAGGCGGUCUUGUAAGUCAGUGGUGAAAGCCCAUCGCUCAACGGUGGAACGGCCAUUGAUACUGCAGGACUUGAAUUAUUGGGAAGUAACUAGAAUAUGUAGUGUAGCGGUGAAAUGCUUAGAGAUUACAUGGAAUACCAAUUGCGAAGGCAGGUUACUACCAAUUGAUUGACGCUGAUGGACGAAAGCGUGGGUAGCGAACAGG